UUUCCUCCCUCUCUCCAUCUCCUCCCUCAACCCCACCGUCGACCACCCACGAGCACGAGCCCGCCAUCGGUACGUCCAGCUCCAUCUCCGGAUCUUUGGCCAAAGGGUGAGGAUCCUUAAUUUCAACGAGAAGACGACGUUUUGAUCAGGGUCGAGGCUGCCGUGCUGAACCGAGCCGAUACCUUUCGGCGGAAAGGCUCGCACCCACCUCCUCUUGAGGGUGCGAGCCCCUACCUGGGCAUCGAGUGCUCCGGGACCAUCCUAGCCAUCGGAUAAAGCGUUUCCCGCUGGAAAAUCGGCGACCAGUUGUGCUCAUUUAACUACUCUUUGGAGGGAUUCAAUUGUUGUCCUCUGUUUGGAAAUACAAUAGGAGGCAAAAAGAGCAAAGACCUUGUCCAAAUUCAAGAAUAUUUUGCAUGGUACAUAGAGGAGCAAGAUCAUUUUAACUGGAACAUAGAGAAGCAAGAGAACCACUGCGAACAGUUGAUAGAGCUCUCUAGAGGGUCCAAAAAUUGUAAAAUUGUUUUGAAAUGAGCUGUUUUUGAGCUUUUACUCUAGGAAAAAGCCAUUAAAU